rnacentral:rRNA from 1 species
GAUGAACGCUGGCGGCGUGCCUAAUACAUGCAAGUAGAACGCUGAAGGAAGGAGCUUGCUCUUUCCGGAUGAGUUGCGAACGGGUGAGUAACGCGUAGGUAACCUGCCUGGUAGCGGGGGAUAACUAUUGGAAACGAUAGCUAAUACCGCAUAACAGUAGAUGUUGCAUGAUAUCUACUUAAAAGGUGCAAUUGCACCACUACCAGAUGGACCUGCGUUGUAUUAGCUAGUUGGUGAGGUAACGGCUCACCAAGGCGACGAUACAUAGCCGACCUGAGAGGGUGAUCGGCCACACUGGGACUGAGACACGGCCCAGACUCCUACGGGAGGCGGCAGUAGGGAAUCUUCGGCAAUGGACGGAAGUCUGACCGAGCAACGCCGCGUGAGUGAAGAAGGUUUUCGGAUCGUAAAGCUCUGUUGUAAGAGAAGAACGAGUGUGAGAGUGGAAAGUUCACACUGUGACGGUAUCUUACCAGAAAGGGACGGCUAACUACGUG